UACGAAGGGGGCUAGCGUUGCUCGGAAUCACUGGGCGUAAAGGGUGCGUAGGCGGGUUUUUAAGUCAGGGGUGAAAUCCUGGAGCUCAACUCCAGAACUGCCUUUGAUACUGAAGAUCUUGAGUCCGGGAGAGGUGAGUGGAACUGCGAGUGUAGAGGUGAAAUUCGUAGAUAUUCGCAAGAACACCAGUGGCGAAGGCGGGUCUCUGGACAGUUCCUGACGCUGAGGCACGAAGGCCAGGGGAGCAAACGGGG
rnacentral:rRNA from 1 species